CCUACGGGAGGCAGCAGUGGGGAAUAUUGCACAAUGGGGGGAACCCUGAUGCAGCGACGCCGCGUGGGUGAAGAAGCGCCUCGGCGCGUAAAGCUCUGUCAGCAGGGAAGAAAAUGACGGUACCUGAAGAAGAAGCCCCGGCUAAGUACGUGCCAGCAGCCGAGGUAAUACGUAGGGGGCAAGCGUUAUCCGGAUUUACUGGGUGUAAAGGGGGCGGAGACGGUGGUGAAAGCCCGGUGUGAAAUGCCAGGGCGGAACCCCGGGCCAGCGUUGGAAACUGGCUGACUGGAGUGAAGGAGGGGCAGGCGGAAUUCCGAGUGGAGCGGUGAAAUGCGUAGAUAUUAGGAGGAACACCGGUGGCGAAGGCGGC
rnacentral:rRNA from 1 species